rnacentral:rRNA from 1 species
GUACAGUUUAAAACCCUUAACGAGGAUCUAUUGGAGGGCAAGUCUGGUGCCAGCAGCCGCGGUAAUUCCAGCUCCAAUAGCGUAUAUUAAAGUUGUUGCAGUUAAAAAGCUCGUAGUUGGAUCUCGGGCACUAGCAUGUGGUACACUUAAUUGUUGUCACUACUUGUCUAGUCCUAAUCAAUCGGUUUGCCAGUUUAUGCCCUUCACUGGGUGUCUUCUGUGGCCGGUACGUUUACUUUGAGAAAAUUAGAGUGCUUAAAGCAGGCAUAUGCCUGAAUAAUGUUGCAUGGAAUAAUAGAAUAGGACCUCGGUUCUAUUUUGUUGGUUUUGUAGAGCAUUGAGGUAAUGAUUAAUAGGGACAGACGGGGGCAUUCGUAUUGCAGUGUUAGAGGUGAAAUUCUUGGAUCGCUGCAAGACGAACAACUGCGAAAGCAUUUGCCAAGAAUGUUUUCAUUAAUCAAGAACGAAAGUUGGAGGUUCGAAGACGAUUAGAUACCGUCCUAGUUCCAACCAUAAACGAUGCCAUCUAGCAAUUAUCUGAUGUUAAUUAAACGACACAGGUAGCGGCUUCCGGGAAACCAAAGAUUUUGGGUUCCGGGGGAAGUAUGGUUGCAAAGCUGAAACUUAAAGGAAUUGACGGAAGGGCACCACCAGGAGUGGAGCCUGCGGCUUAAUUUGACCCAACACGGGAAAUCUCACCCGGCCCGGACACUGUAAGGAUUGACAUUGAGAGCUCUUUCUUGAUUCGGUGGGUGGUGGUGCAUGGCCGUUCUUAGUUGGUGGAGCGAUUUGUCUGGUUAAUUCCGAUAACGAACGAGACUCUAGCCUGCUAAAUAGUACGCCGAUCUCUAUGUCGGCGCGUACUUCUUAGAGGGACAAGUAGCGGAUAGCUACACGAAAUUGAGCAAUAACAGGUCUGUGAUGCCCUUAGAUGUUCGGGGCCGCACGCGCGCUACACUGAAAGGAUAAGUGUGUUCUCCUGCUCUGAAAAGAGUGGGUAAUCCGCUGAAACCCUUUCGUGAUUGGGAUCGGGGCUUGCAAUUUUUCUCCGUGAACGAGGAAUUCCCAGUAAGCGUGAGUCAUCAGCUCGCGUUGAUUACGUCCCUGCCCUUUGUACACACCGCCCGUCGCUACUACCGAUUGAAUGGUUUAGUGAGAUCUUCGGAUUGGUCCGGUAGUGGCCGCAAGGUUGCCUCCAGGUUCUAAAAAGAUGCUCAAACUUGA